rnacentral:rRNA from 1 species
AUUGAACGCUGGCGGCAGGCCUAACACAUGCAAGUCGAGCGGAUGAAGGGAGCUUGCUUCUGGAUUCAGCGGCGGACGGGUGAGUAAUACCUAGGAAUCUGCCUGGUAGUGGGGGACAACGUUUCGAAAGGAGCGCUAAUACCGCAUACGUCCUACGGGAGAAAGCAGGGGACCUUCGGGCCUUGCGCUAUCAGAUGAGCCUAGGUCGGAUUAGCUAGUUGGUGAGGUAAUGGCUCACCAAGGCGACGAUCCGUAACUGGUCUGAGAGGAUGAUCAGUCACACUGGAACUGAGACACGGUCCAGACUCCUACGGGAGGCAGCAGUGGGGAAUAUUGGACAAUGGGCGAAAGCCUGAUCCAGCCAUGCCGCGUGUGUGAAGAAGGUCUUCGGAUUGUAAAGCACUUUAAGUUGGGAGGAAGGGUUGUAGAUUAAUACUCUGCAAUUUUGACGUUACCGACAGAAUAAGCACCGGCUAACUCUGUGCCAGCCGCCGCAGUAAGAC